UUCAGCAUGGUGUAGUGGUUUGAGCACUAGAUUAUGACUCUGGAGUUCAGGGUUCAAUUCUCUGCUUAAU
rnacentral:tRNA from 1 species